AUACGUAGGGGGCGAGCGUUGUCCGGAAUGACUGGGCGUAAAGGGCGUGUAGGCGGCGGUGUAAGUCUGGAGUGAAAGUCCCGCAUUCAAUGUGGGAAUUGCUUUGGAUACUGCAGUGCUAGAGUGCGGAAGAGGUAAGUGGAAUUCCCAGUGUAGCGGUGAAAUGCGUAGAGAUUGGGAGGAACACCAGUGGCGAAGGCGACUUACUGGGCCGUAACUGACGCUGAGGCGCGAAAGCGUGGAGAGCGAACAGGAUUAGAUACCCUGGUAGUCCACGCGGUAAACGAUGAAUGCUAGGUGUUGCGGGUAUCGACCCCCGCAGUGCCGGAGUAAACACAAUAAGCAUUCCGCCUGGGGAGUACGGCCGCAAGGUUGAAACUCAAAUGAAUUGACGGGG
rnacentral:rRNA from 1 species